rnacentral:rRNA from 1 species
CCCUUAGAUGUUCUGGGCUGCACACGUGCUACACUGGCAGGUUCAGCGAGCUUCAUGCCCUGAUCUGAAAGGAAUGGGAAAUCUUUUCAAAACCUGCCGUGCUUGGGUUAGAUGUUUGCAAUUAUUCAUCUUCAACGAGGAUUGCCUUGUAAGCGCACGUCAUCAGCGUGCAUUGAAUACGACCCUGUAUUCUGUACACACCGCCCGUCGCUCCUACCGAUUGAAGUUUUCGGUGAGUUGACAGGAGGAUUUUUUUGAAACUGGUUCGCCAGUGGAUUUUAGAUCCAAAUGCCAACGAAUCGAUGGCUUUAGAGGAAGGAGAAGUCGUAACA